rnacentral:rRNA from 1 species
UUGAGGUCUGCAACUCGACCUCAUGAAGCCGGAAUCGCUAGUAACCGUGAAUCAGCUAUGUCACGGUGAAUAUGUUCCUGAGCCUUGUACUCACCGCCCGUCACAGCAAGCGAGCUGGGAACAGCCGAAGUGCCCCGUAAGGGGAGC